rnacentral:rRNA from 1 species
AGAGUUUGAUCCUGGCUCAGGAUGAACGCUGGCGGUAUGCUUAACACAUGCAAGUCGGACGGACUCUUCGGAGUUAGUGGCGGACGGGUGAGUAAAGCGUGAGAAUCUGCCUACAGAUUGGGGACAACGUCGGGAAACUGACGCUAAUACCGAAUGUGCCGAGAGGUGAAAGAUUUAUCGUCUGUAGAUGAGCUCGCGUCUGAUUAGCUAGUUGGGGCGGUAACGGCGCACCAAGGCGACGAUCAGUAACUGGUCUGAGAGGAUGACCAGUCACACUGGGACUGAGACACGGCCCAGACUCCUACGGGAGGCAGCAGUGGGGAAUUUUCCGCAAUGGGCGAAAGCCUGACGGAGCAAUACCGCGUGCGGGAGGACGCUUUUUGGAGUGUAAACCGUUUUUCUCAAGGAAGAUGAUGACGGUACUUGAGGAAUCAGCAUCGGCUAACUUCGUGCCAGCAGCCGCGGUAAUACGAGGGAUGCAAGCGUUAUCCGGAAUUAUUGGGCGUAAAGCGUUCGUAGGUGGCAAAUUAAGUCUGUUGUUAAGACGUGGAGCUUAACUCCAUAUCGGCAAUGGAAACUGGUUAGCUAGAGUAUGGUAGGGGUAACAGGAAUUCCCAGUGUAGCGGUGAAAUGCGUAGAUAUUGGGAAGAACACCAGCGGCGAAAGCGUGUUACUGGGCCAUUACUGACACUGAGGGACGAAAGCUAGGGGAGCGAAAGGGAUUAGAUACCCCUGUAGUCCUAGCCGUAAACGAUGAGAACUAGGUGUUGCGCGUAUCGACCCGCGCGGUGCCGUAGCUAACGCGUUAAGUUCUCCGCCUGGGGAGUACGCACGCAAGUGUGAAACUCAAAGGAAUUGACGGGGGCCCGCACAAGCGGUGGAGUAUGUGGUUUAAUUCGAUGCAACGCGAAGAACCUUACCAGGGUUUGACAUCCUCGGAACUUUCUGGAAACAGAUUGGUGCCUUCGGGAACCGAGAGACAGGUGGUGCAUGGCUGUCGUCAGCUCGUGUCGUGAGAUGUUGGGUUAAGUCCCGCAACGAGCGCAACCCACGUUUUUAGUUGCCAGCAUUAAGUUGGGCACUCUAGAGAGACUGCCGGUGACAAACCGGAGGAAGGUGUGGAUGACGUCAAGUCAGCAUGCCCCUUACAUCCUGGGCUACACACGUACUACAAUGCUACGGACAAAGGGCAGCGAGCCAGCAAUGGUCUGCAAAUCCCAUAAACCGUAGCUCAGUUCAGAUUGCAGGCUGCAACUCGCCUGCAUGAAGGCGGAAUCGCUAGUAAUCGCAGGUCAGCAUACUGCGGUGAAUACGUUCCCGGGCCUUGUACACACCGCCCGUCACACCA